rnacentral:misc_RNA from 1 species
AAGAACGCCCCGUUUUUUGAAAUGGGUAAUUCCCAAACCGUGUCUAUAUAUACCUUUGUUGCUUUGGCAGGUCGCCUUCUAGGCGUCGGCUCCGGCUGACUGCGCCUGCCAGAGGACCCCAAACUCUGAAUGUUAGUGUCGUCUGAGUACUAUAUAAUAGUUA